ensembl:lncRNA
CUGUGUGUUAUUGCUUGACCUUGGCUCCCAGGCACUAGUAUAUGCAUGUGUAUCUUCUUGUGUUCCUCCUCACGGGGGAGAGCUUCAGAGUAUCUCCUGUUGUGGCCCUCCCGUUCUUGAGGAUGACUGGUGCAUUGUCUGAGUGUCUACCAUCUGCCUGGAGGAGAAAUGGGGCCCUGUCUCCGGCCCUGACCUGACUAUAUUCUCAUGUGUGUGCUAUGUGUUAAAAGUUGACUAUAUUGUAAGGUGACUGCCAUGUGAUGUGCUCAUUAGGCUAGGGUAGGAGUUAGCUAUAUUUAUAAUGUACAUGUGAUGUACUCAGCAGGUUAUUUUGCCCAACAUAUCCCCCUCAAGUCGUCGCAAGACGACUUUUACUCAUUAGGGGUACGAGGGAUAGGACUCCAGCGCGGGACUACCAUUAUAACACUAUUAGAAAUAACAGAAAGAAGGCAAAUUACCAUAAAAACAAACAACCAUGAGCCUGGGACGAAAACAGCUCGCUGGACCGGGUGUAUGGGGAACCACGUGGGAGAAACACCACCCAUGCUUCAGGCAUGGGUAUGCCAUACACACCCCACCUAGGGGGUGGCAUCCACCCCGGCCUUACAUCGCGAGCAGACAAUACCAACAAUACUAGCAGCAGAUAAUACACAAAAAACAUACCACAAACAUACAAUAAUACAAAAACAAAUAUCAAACGAUACCAAAAACAACAACCAACAACAAAGCUGGCCACAUAACAAAACCAACACCAAACCAUAACAAUAACAACAAAAUGCAACAAUAAAACAAACUCCAAACAAUAACAGUAUCAGCAAAAGCAGCAAUAAGACGAACAGUAAACAAUAACAAUAUAAAAAUGCAACAAUCACACAAACACUACACUAACGAUCACAGGAAAGAAAUGUAACCAUGAAACGUGUCCCUAUAAUAAUAGCGAUAAUAUCAGAAAGAUAUGAGGUAGAUAACGAAUGGCAAUCCCCCUCAACCCAUCCCUAGAUGACCACACACUAAGGAUGUG